ACAGUGCAACUUGAUGCUAGUGUGGACGGGGCCGUCUUCCCGCCUGGGGACUAAUGUCGGGCCGGGUCCCACCAUCGUCUGCUAACCUCGGGCACCUGGCUGGCUCUCUAUAGUCACCUUGGGCUCCUGGCCGUCUGUCUAGUCGCCUUGGGCACCUGGCUGGCUGUCUACAGUCCCUAUCACCAUGGGCUCCUGGCCGUCUGUCCACAGUUCCUCCAAGGCAUGCUCUUCCCGACAUCCUGGUGACUCGUCUUUCUGGGUCACUGACAACUUGGGUGAACUGGGCAACGCCAAGGCCGCUUUGGGGACAACGGCUGCCUCCCAGGCCUGGUGCUGCAAGGAUGGCAGACCCCUGCAGGGGCGGGGACCUCAGGACCCCAUGGGUUCCACGCCCUGACACAGUGACACCCGGCAGCUGGUGGGGAUCUGUGCAGGUGUCCCUAGGCUCGCUCCGCGCCCAGGGAACCCACGAGGCCCCAGCACCACCUCCCCAAGGACCGUCAGGGAUCUCCUGGCAUGGCAUCCACCUCAGGAAAUGGGGGAUCCCCUCCAAUCCCCCUCGGCCCUGCUGAGAGACCAUCCCACAUGCUCCCAGGGGAGGAUGUGGCAUGGGUAUGCAGUGGCCACAGCAGUGCAUGACCCACCAUGACACCCAGGGUGCUCCAUGUAGCGAGGGGACCUCUCUGAACCCACGGAAGAGCCAUCCCACGGGUGUCAGGACUGUGGCUGGGAGACCGAAGGCAUCUGUGUCCUGACAGGACACCCAGGCACUGGGAGUGCACAAGACCACUGGCACCCACUUCCAUGCCAGGGCAGGACGUGUGUGACUCUGCGAACACGAGCCCCCAUCCAGCAGUGCCCAACCAUCCGAGUGUGGUGCGGCGUAGUUGUGUGAGCUCAGCAACCUCACCGAGGGGAGGCCCAUCCCUGACCGACCACAGCCACGCCCCGAGGAAGCCAGCGCCCUGGCUCCGGGCAGCAGCAGUGACAUGUGUGCUGCCCUUAGCCUCCAGAUUUUUAGUCAAGGAGAAAUGGCUUUGUACAUCAUGAUGUCAAACAAAGAGUCUGAAUUUACAGAAUCUUAAAUAAACUUUCAUGUUAAUUCUCAGAAUGCCCAGAGUACGAGGAAUGCUUUACAGUAAUAGUGAGAUAAUUAGGGCUCAUUUUGGUAGAAACUCAAGUAGUUUGAUAUGAAAAUUAAAUUUUGAAAACCAGGAAAGAACCAGAAAGGGGAUGUGUCCCCUGCAUGGAUCAGGAGCAUCUGCCCGGCCCAGCCGCCUCUCCUCUCAGGCUCCAGCCCCUUCCUGCCUCCUUGCACCCCUGCAGGCCCCAAGCUGUGGAGUGGAUCCUGCGUGCCCUAGGACGUGAGCUUGGAGUAGCUGGGCGGGGAUAGCUUCCGCUUCAAGUACUUUAGGACGUAGAGUGGCAGACAGCUGACCACGGUGAUGGCUGACACUUUCCACACAAAGGUCACGGUCGUGAUGAAGGCAACAUCUGCAGGCAGGACACGGAAACAAGUGUAAGAGGCGGUUGAGGCGCCCACAGGCCCCUGAGGCCCAAGGCGGCAGGCAGCCGCCUCCUUGCGUCACUGCCAGGCGGCGCGGGGACUCAGGUGGCCCUUACCACACCUGCGUACCAGGUGUAGUAAGUUCUUUUAACAGAAUAAAAAAUUACACCAAAGUAUUAGAGACUGUGUAUGACGUCCUCAGACACCCUUGGGUGGUGGAGGUUCCCGCAGCUGCAGUGCUGGGUCUGAGAGGCCGUUUGGGGCUGGUCCGUGGGCUCUCCCAACAAAGCCUGGCUCUGUGACUUUCCAUGGAAGAGGUGGGGGCAAGAGCCAAGUCCCAGGGGUGCUCCUACCACUGGCAGAAGCCCUUCACUCUUACCACAACGGGGGAUCCACUUGGCCACUUGGCAGGACUCACAGAUUUUACACACACAUGGCCGACCCGAGUAUGUCCCAGACCACAGAGGGUGGCAGAUGGUCUGGAUUUCACCAUAUUUCAAAAAACCCUGAAACUGUUUUCCAACUGCUUGUCCACACAUGAGUUUUUAAAGCAUAACUGAACUGGCUGCCAUGUGAAAGCAUAUCUGCAAACACUCCUCCCUUCGGAUCCACAUCUCAAGGUUCCAAAGGGAUUUACUUUCAAAGUACAAACCCGCAUGCGCAUGGCCACACUCCAGGUGCCAGGAGGGGAGGCAUGUCCGAGCCCCCUGCACCUAAACCUCCAGCACUUAAACAAUGAGGAAGGUGAUCUCCCCAAGUGACUGCGGUUUGUCUUUGCCACUUUCUAAUUCACUUUUAUGUCUAUUUCGCCUUUUUUUCAUUUUAGCAGCGGAUCAGAUGCAGUACUUGUGUGUUUGUCCAAUUUAUUAUUUUGCUUUGUAAAUAAAAUUUACAGAAAUAUUUCUGUAAAUAUUACUAAAUGAAGGAAACAGACAUAUUAAAAUGAAAUGCCAUAAAAAUAAACCAACAUUUCUCCCAUGCUCAGUGUGUUGUGCUCCUACUGGAAAAUAUACUAAAUAUUCUUAAGAAAAGUAACAAGAGAUUGUAUUUUGAAAAUAGCUAAUUUCUUAAGUGCUGUUUUGUAUGUUUGGGUGAACAUCUCUUUCAUUUUGUUUUUGAGGGGGAAAAGGGCAGGGGGAGAGGGAGACAGAAUCUCCAGCAGGCUCCCCGCCAAGUGACAAGCCUGGUGCAGGAGCCAAUCUCAUGACCCUGAGAUCACAACCUGAGCCGAAACCAAGUCAGACACUCAACCAACUGAGCCACCCUGGCGCUCCAUUAAAGCAAAGGAACAAAAUGCACAAUUCCUGCUGCUGAAAGCUGCCUAGACACACUCACUUUGUGAUUUACCAUUCUGGUGUGAAGGACAGAGAUGCUUUCGCGGUACAGUGGAUGAACACUGCGAUGUAUCGAUUCUCAUCCCACAGACUUCACGGAACAUUGUGUUACUGAGGAAGCUGAGUCUUGACGUGCAUCCUGUCACUGUCCCUGGCGGGCCCUUCUACCUGCAGACAUGCGGACUUCAAAUCUGGGUUUUUCCUGUGGGGUCUUUCUGGGGCACUCUGGUGGCCCGAGGGCAGGCUUCCUGGAGCAAUGUGCAGGCUCCCUGGAUUUCACCCCCAAACCCGGCUCUUCACCUCGGUUUCCCUCCUGGAGGGCUCCUUGGCUUUACUUCCCCUCCUGCUACGUAUCCUGUGUUAGCGUGCUUCUCCCCAGGGUCCCUCCCAGACAUGCUGCUCUGGGCCCCUGGACACAGCUCCCCUGCCAGGCUCACCGGGAGCCACGAUGAGGCUGGUGGGACCCUCCACGGGGUGAGUCAUUUCUGCAGUGGCCUCUGCCUGAGGACACGCUCAGCAGGUGAUGGGGACGUACUACUCUGAGUUUAAGGGAAGGGCUUCUUUGCACAGACAGUGAUCUGACCAGGGGCUGUCUGGAGGCGACCUGGCUUUCCCAGCUGUGGGGAGGCAGGCCACAGGCUGACGUCACAAGGCCCUGAGGCGCAAACCCUAGGACUGCUGCUCCUGUGGGAUGCACGGACUUUGUCCAAGUAGUGGAAGUCACAGCCUCUGCAUCAGUCACACAGGGUGAUAAGGGCCCACAACUAGCUGGCCUUAUGCAGAGGUGGCAUCUUUAGCUAUUACUAUGGUGUGUCCAAAGGUGGGCCUGGACUCCACCCUGGGAGUGCUUGUGAGUUAGGAAGAAGGAUAAACAAUGCAGCUCUUAUGGAAAUAAUUUUUGGAAACAGUACAUCUUUUAAAGAGGUAAGACGGUGACAAUCUGAAUUUUAUAAAAUAUUACAAAGAGUUUAAUCUUUCCACAAAAAGAAGCUUUUUGUGUAGUGAAGCAAUCUGAGGUAGGUUUUAUUGCACUCCGCAAUUUAAGACAGUGUAUUAAUAAGUAACAAUAACUAAUGUAUAAAAACCAGUAACAGACAAAAAAGAUUCCCACAGCAACUUACCAAAAUACUCAUUUAGAAAAGCGAGUGAGGCCACAUAGCAGCCCAGGCUGAGGACCUCAGCCACUGCCAUCAGCCAGUGCCACGUCCUGACGGUCAGGGCCACCAUGAGCAGCUCCGUGAGGAUGAGGGCCGUGAAGGAGAUGGCCACCACAUGCACAAACUCAGACUCGAACAGAAGCAAGGCCCCGUACAUGAGGAUGCCGCCUGCAACACAAGACGGGGGUACUGUGGCCUGGAUGGGGCAGCCCCUCCUGCCGGGGUGGGAACCCAGCACUGCACCGGGCAGCUGGGGGACACACUAGGGGCAUGGCUAACCGGCAAGAGUCAUACUUGAAAAUAUGUGGUUAGGGACACCCCCUCACUUCAUGUUAACAGUUUAUUUAAAGUUCUGGAUUAUGAAUAAGAUAAGAUGUGGCACCAGAGAGGCCAGGAACCUUUCAAGAUCUGGAGGAAAGGCCAUGCCACCUCUUUGUAAGUAAUUAUGCUUCCAAUGUAAAGUAUCUAAUCUGUUAAUUCAAUUUCAACAAUCUCUCAUUUAUCUGGAACACUCAUCAGAGGAUGGCUAAUGACUUCUGUUUACAUUAAGUGAGAUUUCUCCAAGUCUGGGCAUCACUCUGCGACAGGAACUGCUGCGGGGGCACGUAACAUGUUUCUCCAGAUGAAGGACGCGUACACCCUCCUGAAGUCAUCCACACCCAAGAGGGAGACCCAGCCACUGCCAGCCACACGGGCUGCUACUGCUCAGGCCUGUUCCAUGGCAGUGCUUGUCAGGUGAAGCCAUGUGAACGAUGGACCCUCAGGACCUUGGUCAGAUCUGUGCGGUCACACUCCUGCAUCAAUCCUCUCGGGCACUGUAGCACUCAGACGGGGCAGACGUUGUCUCCAUUUACACAUGAAAAAACUCUAAAAGUCUGGUGCUUUCCACAAGUUCAUGCUGCAGGGCAGCUGUGCUGGACAUGGGUUUGAAUUGCGUGGGCUCACCUAUAUAUGAAUUUUUAAAAACUAAAAUAAAUACAGUAUUAUUAAUGUAUUUGCUUUUUUUUUUUAAAGAUUCUAUUUAUUUAUUCAUGAGA